rnacentral:rRNA from 1 species
AUACGGAGGAUGCAAGCGUUAUCCGGAUUUAUUGGGUUUAAAGGGUGCGUAGGCGGAUGAUUAAGCGUGAGGUGAAAGCUCGGGGCUCAACCCCGGAACUGCCUCGCGAACUGGUUGUCUUGAAUGUCCGUGCCGUGGGAGGAAUGUGCGGUGUAGCGGUGAAAUGCAUAGAGAUCACACAGAACACCGAUUGCGAAGGCAUCUCACGAACGGAUGAUUGACGCUGAGGCACGAAAGCGUGGGGAUCAAACAGGAUUAGAUACCCUGGUAGUCCACGCAGUAAACGAUGAUAACUAACCGCUGGGCAUUCGUGUUCAGUGGCCAAGCGAAAGCGAUAAGUUAUCCACCUGGGGAGUACGACCGCAAGGUUGAAACUCAAAGGAAUUGACGGGG